rnacentral:rRNA from 1 species
UACAGAGGUCUCAAGCGUUGUUCGGAUUCAUUGGGCGUAAAGGGUGCGUAGGUGGCGCUGUAAGUCGGGUGUGAAAUUUCGGAGCUUAACUCCGAAACUGCAUUCGAUACUGCGGUGCUUGAGGACUGGAGAGGAGACUGGAAUUCAUGGUGUAGCAGUGAAAUGCGUAGAGAUCAUGAGGAAGACCAGUGGCGAAGGCGGGGUCUCUGGACAGUUCCUGACGCUGAGGCACGAAGGUCAGGGGAGCAAACGGG